CUGAAGGCUGCCCCCUCUGAUGCCAAAAGUGAGCAAAACCAGGGACUUAUGUCAUUGCCUUGGGUGAGGAACUGCAGCAAAGAGGAGUCAAGCUGUUUUGAUGGAUUUUUUCGCCUUAAUUUCGUUUGAUGUAUUAAUUUCUAAGUAACUGACAAAAUAUUCUGCCACCUUCAGUAAACGACAUUACAAAACCUGCCCAGAUGUAUGAUUUUCUGCAUUGGUACGUGGCACAAAAGGGAUGAAGAGCUGUAGAUUUUUCUGUUUUUAGGCUCUGGCCCAGACCAUGUGAGAAUCAUCAAGACUCUCCUCGUCCCUUGAAAGACUCUGAAACUCCAGCAGAGGAAGUGUGGAAGAUCAGUUCACAAGGCAGCCACUUAUUAAGCUUUUUCACCUUUCCAAUUUGCUUCAAAUGCCGAAUAACCAUAGAAUGGUGACGUUAAGUUCUUUGGCAACUUCUUGUGUACUUGUAAGAGGAUCAGUUUCGAUGACCCUCUCAUUUGGUCAUUGUUAACUUCCAAAGGCCAGC
ensembl:lncRNA